rnacentral:rRNA from 1 species
GACGAACGCUGGCGGCGUGCUUAACACAUGCAAGUCGAACGGAGAAGUCCCGCCUGUUUUUUUCGGACGGAUGUCGAACGGGAGAGUAUGACGGGCGUGACCUGCCCGCGACGUUAGGAUAACUUCUAGUAAGUGGGGCUAGCAGGGGACAGGAGGUCCUGCCGCAUGGGGGGGGAAUGAAAGUUUAGGCGGUUGGGGAUGGACCCGCGGCUUAUGAGGUUGUUGGUUGGGUAGUGGCUUACGAAGGAUUUGACGGGUAGCCGGCCUGAGAGGGGGACCGGCCACAUUGGGACUGAGAUACGGCCCAGACUCCUACGGGAGGCAGCAGUGGGGAAUAUUGCACAAUGGGCGGAAGCCUGAUGCAGCAACGCCGCGUGCGGGAUGACGGCCUUCGGGUUGUAAACCGCUUUCGCCUGUGACGAAGCGUGAGUGAGGGUAAUGGGUACAGAAGCACCGGCUAACUACGUG